rnacentral:rRNA from 1 species
UACGAAGGGGGCUAGCGUUGCUCGGAAUCACUGGGCGUAAAGCGCACGUAGGCGGCUUUCUAAGUCAGGGGUGAAAUCCUGGAGCUCAACUCCAGAACUGCCUUGAUACUGGAGAGCUCGAGUUCGGGAGAGGUGAGUGGAACUGCGAGUGUAGAGGUGAAAUUCGUAGAUAUUCGCAAGAACACCAGUGGCGAAGGCGGCUCACUGGCCCGAUACUGACGCUGAGGUGCGAAAGCGUGGGGAGCAAACAGG